rnacentral:rRNA from 1 species
AGUUGAAGCUAGUGUAAGAACUAGUGGAGGACUGAACCCAUAGGCGUUGAAAAGCCCCGGGAUGACUUGUGGAUAGGGGUGAAAGGCCAAUCAAACUUCGUGAUAGCUGGUUCUCUCCGAAAUAUAUUUAGGUAUAGCGUUGUGUCGUAAUAUAAGGGGGUAGAGCACUGAAUGGGCUAGGGCAUACACCAAUGUACCAAACCCUAUCAAACUCCGAAUACCUUAUAUGUAAUCACAGCAGUCAGGCGGCGAGUGAUAAAAUCCGUCGUCAAGAGGGAAACAACCCAGACUACCAGCUAAGGUCCCUAAAUCUUACUUAAGUGGAAAACGAUGUGAAGUUACUUAAACAACCAGGAGGUUGGCUUAGAAGCAGCCAUCCUUUAAAGAAAGCGUAAUAGCUCACUGGUCUAGUGAUUUUGCGCGGAAAAUAUAACGGGGCUAAAGUAAGUACCGAAGCUGUAGACUUGCACACAACUUAGAUUAUUUAAGUUUAGAAUAAGUAGUUUAAGUUGUGUGCAAGUGGUAGGAGAGCGUUCUAUUUGCGUCGAAGGUAUACCGGUAAGGAGUGCUGGAGCGAAUAGAAGUGAGCAUGCAGGCAUGAGUAGCGAUAAUUAAUGUGAGAAUCAUUAACGCCGUAAACCCAAGGUUUCCUACGCGAUGCUCGUCAUCGUAGGGUUAGUCGGGUCCUAAGUCGAGUCCGAAAGGGGUAGACGAUGGCAAAUUGGUUAAUAUUCCAAUACCAACAUUAGUGUGCGAUGGAAGGACGCUUAGGGCUAAGGGGGCUAGCGGAUGGAAGUGCUAGUCUAAGGUCGUAGGAGGUUAUACAGGCAAAUCCGUAUAACAAUACUCCGAGAACUGAAAGGCUUUUUGAAGUCUUCGGAUGGAUAGAAGAACCCCUGAUGCCGUCGAGCCAAGAAAAGUUUCUAAGUUUAGCUAAUGUUGCCCGUACCGUAAACCGACACAGGUGGGUGGGAUGAGUAUUCUAAGGCGCGUGGAAGAACUCUCUUUAAGGAACUCUGCAAAAUAGCACCGUAUCUUCGGUAUAAGGUGUGGUUAGCUUUGUAUUAGGAUUUACUCCGAAAGCAAGGAAACUUACAACAAAGAGUCCCUCCCGACUGUUUACCAAAAACACAGCACUCUGCUAACUCGUAAGAGGAUGUAUAGGGUGUGACGCCUGCCCGGUGCUCGAAGGUUAAUUGAUGGGGUUAGCAUUAGCGAAGCUCUUGAUCGAAGCCCGAGUAAACGGCGGCCGUAACUAUAACGGUCCUAAGGUAGCGAAAUUCCUUGUCGGUUAAAUACCGACCUGCAUGAAUGGCGUAACGAGAUGGGAGCUGUCUCAAAGAGGGAUCCAGUGAAAUUGUAGUGGAGGUGAAAAUUCCUCCUACCCGCGGCAAGACGGAAAGACCCCGUGGACCUUUACUACAGCUUGACACUGCUACUUGGAUAAGAAUGUGCAGGAUAGGUGGGAGGCUUUGAGUAUAUGACGCCAGUUGUAUAUGAGCCAUUGUUGAGAUACCACUCUUUCUUAUUUGGGUAGCUAACCAGCUUGAGUUAUCCUCAAGUGGGACAAUGUCUGGUGGGUAGUUUGACUGGGGCGGUCGCCUCCCAAAUAAUAACGGAGGCUUACAAAGGUUGGCUCAGAACGGUUGGAAAUCGUUCGUAGAGUAUAAAGGUAUAAGCCAGCUUAACUGCAAGACAUACAAGUCAAGCAGAGACGAAAGUCGGUCUUAGUGAUCCGGUGGUUCUGUGUGGAAGGGCCAUCGCUCAAAGGAUAAAAGGUACCCCGGGGAUAACAGGCUGAUCUCCCCCAAGAGCUCACAUCGACGGGGAGGUUUGGCACCUCGAUGUCGGCUCAUCGCAUCCUGGGGCUGGAGCAGGUCCCAAGGGUAUGGCUGUUCGCCAUUUAAAGCGGUACGCGAGCUGGGUUCAGAACGUCGUGAGACAGUUCGGUCCCUAUCUGCCGUGGGCGUAAGAAGAUUGAAGAGAUUUGACCCUAGUACGAGAGGACCGGGUUGAACAAACCACUGGUGUAGCUGUUGUUCUGCCAAGAGCAUCGCAGCGUAGCUAAGUUUGGAAAGGAUAAACGCUGAAAGCAUCUAAGCGUGAAGCCAACUCUAAGAUGAAUCUUCUCUAAGCUCUCUAGAAGACUACUAGUUUGAUAGGCUGGGUGUGUAAUGGAUGAAAGUCCUUUAGCUGACCAGUACUAAUAGAGCGUUUGGCUUAUCUUUAAUAAAGCAU